ACUACAUGUACAGGAUAGGUGGGAGGCUUUGAAACCAGGACGCCAGUUUUGGCGGAGCCAUCCUUGGGAUACCACCCUUGUAGUACUGGGACUCUAACCAUAGGCCAUGAAUCUGGUCUUGGGACACUGGCAGGUGGGCAGUUUGACUGGGGCGGUCGCCUCCCAAAAGGUAACGGAGGCGCUCAAAGGUUCUCUCAGUACGGUCGGAAAUCGUACGUAGGGUGUAAAGGCAAAAGAGAGCUUGAUUGCAAGACAUACAGGUCGAGCAAGGAUGAAAAUCGGACUUAGUGAUCCGGUGGUUCUGCGUGGAAGGGCCAUCGCUCAACGGAUAAAAGCUACCCUGGGGAUAACAGGCUUAUCUCCCCCAAGAGUCCACAUCGACGGGGAGGUUUGGCACCUCGAUGUCGGCUCAUCACAUCCUGGGGCUGUAGUAGGUCCCAAGGGUUGGGCUGUUCGCCCAUUAAAGUGGUACGCGAGCUGGGUUCAGAACGUCGUGAGACAGUUCGGUCCCUAUCCGUCGCAGGCGUAGGAAAUUUGAGAAGACCUGUCCUUAGUACGAGAGGACCGGGAUGGACGUACCUCUGGUGUACCAGUUGUCCUGCCAAGGGCAUGGCUGGGUAGCUAUGUACGGAAUGGAUAAGCGCUGAAAGCAUCUAAGCGCGAAG
rnacentral:rRNA from 1 species